GAAACUCAGGCUCAAAGUCAUAUUAACAAGUGGUGCAGCAAAAGCAGACACUUUGUUCCUCUGGUUUCCAGUCUCAGGUGGCCCUCACCCAGGAUAUGAUUCCACCAGCAUGGAUUAUUGCAAAAGUCAAGAUGCAGACAAAAUGGCAAAUCUGAGAAGAGAUGGACAGGCAAAAUGGAGCACAACGGAGUCACUACUGCUACAUCAGUGUGGAGUCGCACCUUGAGACAUAGUGUUACUUAACCAUGUUCCUUGAUGGCACAGAAUGUUAUACUGUAAUAUAGAUGUAAAUAUUAAUAUAAUAUAGAAGUAUAUAGUAUAUAUAUCAUACUGUAAUAUAGAAAUAAAUAUUAUACUUCUGG
rnacentral:antisense_RNA from 1 species